rnacentral:rRNA from 1 species
UAUGGUAAUUGUGCAGCCGCGGUAAAACGUAGGUCACAAGCGUUGUCCGGAAUUACUGGGUGUAAAGGGAGCGCAGGCGGGAAGACAAGUUGGAAGUGAAAUCUAUGGGCUCAACCCAUAAACUGCUUUCAAAACUGUUUUUCUUGAGUAGUGCAGAGGUAGGCGGAAUUCCCGGUGUAGCGGUGGAAUGCGUAGAUAUCGGGAGGAACACCAGUGGCGAAGGCGGCCUACUGGGCACCAACUGACGCUGAGGCUCGAAAGUGUGGGUAGCAAACAGG